GGCAGUGUGGCGUAGUGGUAGGGAGCAGGGCUUAUAACCCAGAUUUUGCUGGUUUCAAAUGCCAGGUGGGCUA